rnacentral:snoRNA from 1 species
CAAUGGGUUUAGAUGUAUGGCAGGGGCGUGUUAUCUGAGCCUCUCAGAGUGUCCCAUGCCAGAGCAAGCUUUGACCCGCAAUCAUUGCCUGACGCCUGGUAGUGCACUGCAUGUAAUGAAUCGGGUUGCACAGUG